AAGAGGUUUCCUGACUACAGAUUCCUCACGGUGAGAGGUUUCUGACAACAUAUUCCUCACAACCUGAGAACUGCAUGCUGAAGAAGAACAAGAAGAAGGUUUCUGACUUGAGAAGCCUCACAACCUGCCUCUCCCUCCUGGACUUGCUCUGCACUCUACCUGCUUGCUGCCUAAGGCUGGCCUCUCUGCUGCUGCUCUCCCCCCUAAGAAGGUGUCUGCCAUCAGAUCCCUCACUACAGAAUGCCUGCAUGCUGACAGAUUCUCCAGAGCCUGCUACCAGAGACCUGCUGCUUCCUCCUGGACUUCUUCCUGGACCUACCCAGUACUUGCACCUUCUUGCCCAAGACUGGCCAUGCUGCUGCUGCUCUCCCCCUGCACUUUUGCCCCAGACCGUCGGAACAUCGUGCAACAGGACCGCUGCUGGAUCCUGCUGGAGCUGCCAUUGCUGCACCACCUGCAGAGCAGAUCAUAUUCUGUACACCCAUACAGCUGCAAGUGACCUAGAAUUACACAUC
rnacentral:lncRNA from 1 species